GAUGAACGCUGGCGGCGUGCCUAAUACAUGCAAGUCGAGCGAACGGACGAGAAGCUUGCUUUUCUGAUGUUAGCGGCGGACGGGUGAGUAACACGUGGAUAACCUACCUAUAAGACUGGGAUAACUUCGGGAAACCGGAGCUAAUACCGGAUAAUAUUUUGAACCGCAUGGUUCAAAAGUGAAAGACGGUCUUGCUGUCACUUAUAGAUGGAUCCGCGCUGCAUUAGCUAGUUGGUAAGGUAACGGCUUACCAAGGCAACGAUGCAUAGCCGACCUGAGAGGGUGAUCGGCCACACUGGAACUGAGACACGGUCCAGACUCCUACGGGAGGCAGCAGUGGGGAAUCUUCCGCAAUGGGCGAAAGCCUGACGGAGCAACGCCGCGUGAGUGAUGAAGGUCUUCGGAUCGUAAAACUCUGUUAUUAGGGAAGAACAUAUGUGUAAGAAACUGUGCACAUCUUGACGGUACCUAAUCAGAAAGCCACGGCUAACUACGUG
rnacentral:rRNA from 1 species